rnacentral:rRNA from 1 species
ACACGACUACAUUAGACUACCCUGUAGUCCUAGGCGUAAAUGAUGCGAGUUAAGUGUGGGGCAUCUACGAGAUGGCCCUGUGCUGUAGGGUAGCCGUUAAACUCGCUGCCGUGGGAGUACGGUCGCAAGGCUAGAAACUUAAAGGAAUUGGCGGGGAGCACCACAACAGGUGGAGCCUGCGGUUUAAUUGGACUCAACGCCGGGAAGCUCACCGGAUAGGACAGCAGAAUGAUUGCCGGGCUGAAGACCCUGCAUGACUAGCUG